CAACACCGUUAUAGUCCACCUCAUUCUCGAUAUUUGCUAAAAUCUUGCCAACAGGAGUACUAGACUGCAAUACGAAAUUUGAUGCUGCAUCAGAGGUAUGAUUUUCACCCUCAUCACCCAAAUUUACACUCGUCUCAUCAUCAUUUCGCUUUUUGCGUCUCUUACGACAAUUAACCCCCCCACGGCCUCCUUUAUGACCAACCUUUCUUUUUUUCACCUCUAACAGAUCUUGAUCUUUUUCAACAAGGGAGUCAUCAAUGGGAAAAUCUUGGCGAAGUCCACGACUACAUUGAGACUCUAAUAUCUGUCUCGCACGAGCAGCAAGAACAUCAAUAGCAUUGUAAUCUCCAUUUACCUUGGUUAUAGCAGAUAUGCGAUUGAGUAUCUUCACCUGUAAUAAGGUAAAGAGGCAUACAUUAAUAGAUUUAAGAAUUACAACAUGCAAGAAAGUGAGAAACACAUGAUACUAAUUACAAUUACCGCAUAUGAUUGUGCAGCAGCAACUCGUGUAUGAUAUGGACGAGUGACAUUAGCAUACCAUUCAGUAUAGCGAGUAGUCACCCCAGCACCUACAUUAUUU
rnacentral:lncRNA from 1 species